AAUGUGGAAAGCAGUAUGGAAAUUCCUUGGAAAAUUGGAGUGGAACUGCCAUUUGGCCCAGCUAUCCCUCUCCUCGGACUCUACCCAAAGGACUUAAAAUCAGCACACUACAGGGACACAGCCACAUCAGUGUUAAAGCAGCACAGUUCACAACAGCUAAACUGUGGAGCCAACCUAGAUGCCCUUCGGUAGAUGAAUGAUAAAGAAAAUGUGGUCUAUACACAAUGGAAUACUACUCAGCAUUAAAAGAGAAUAAAAUCAUGGCAUUUGCAGGUAAAUGGAUGGAGUCGGAGACUACACCAUAUUUUCUUUAUCAUUCAUCUGGUGGGCACCUAGGCUGGUUCCAGGGUUUGGCUGCUGUGAAUCAGGCUGCUGCAAACAUGGGCUGGCUCAGUGGGUUGAGUGCUUGCUUUGCAUGCACAAGGCCCUGGGUCUGAUCCCCAGUGCCACAAGAAAAAAAUAAGGUAAACAUGGCUUGCAUGUAUUGCUGUAGUAAGAUGAUUUUAAUGCUUCAGGGUAAAUAGUGAGGAGGG
rnacentral:lncRNA from 1 species